CUCAUGCAGAGUGACAGACACACACUGACUCAAGCAGACAUACACUGACUCAUGUAGACUGACACACAAACACUGGCCAGGCAGACACACGCAGACACACACACACACACACACUGACCCAAGCAGACUCACACACAAUGACCCAAGCAGACGCACACACAUACAUGCACACUGACUCAAGCAGAUACACACACUGACUCAAGCAGACACACACACACACACACACUGACUCAAUCAGAUAUACACACACGCACACACAUACUAACCCAAGCAGACUCACACACAAUGACCCAAGCAGACGCACACAUGUACAUGCACACUGACCCAAGCACACACACACUGACAAAAGCAGACACACACACACUGACUCAGACACAAUGUGGGCGUUGUAAAACAGUUGAGGAUCAAUCUUUUGGCCACACAUGCUUUUUAGGGGGCCCCAUAAAAUGGAUUGGACCAGGAACCUCUCUUCAUAUUCACCCAUAACCAUCUAUAUCUUACAUAUGUGUAAUGUCCGUGUGACUGCAUGUGAGUUUAUAUUUAUUUAACCAGUUCAAAUGAGUUUUUGUAUGCAUUGCUAGUUCCAUGUGAAUGUUUGUGUGUGGCACCAGUAUAAGAGGAAGUGAACAUUUUUAUAUGUUAGUGCUUCUGCAUGUAUUGUGUUGUGAAUACUUGUUUAGCUCUGCAAUUAUCACAUUUGUUGUUUUUUUCUGUGUACAUUUUUGCAAUGUCACUGAGUGCAUUUGAGUGUUUCUGAAUGUCCAUUGCCACUGUACAUAUGUUUUUCUGUUUGUGCACGGUCAGUGUGAGUACAUGAGAGUGUUUAG